rnacentral:rRNA from 1 species
CGGGGUGAGUAACACGUGGGUAACCUACCCAUCAGAGGGGGAUAACACUUGGAAACAGGUGCUAAUACCGUAUAACAAUCGAAACCGCAUGGUUUCGGUUUGAAAGGCGCUUUUGCGUCACUGAUGGAUGGACCCGCGGUGCAUUAGCUAGUUGGUGAGGUAACGGCUCACCAAGGCAACGAUGCAUAGCCGACCUGAGAGGGUGAUCGGCCACAUUGGGACUGAGACACGGCCCAA